AAAAUGAGGAAGAAAUAACGAGUGAUGAUUUGGAGGAAGCCUUUCUCUGUUGUAAAUACCACUUUCUACACACACGCACACACUCACACACACACACACACACACACACACACACACACACACACACACACACACACACACACACUUCACAUAAAACUUGAUAUUAGGCCUGAGCCAAUAAUCGAGUACAAAGCGCAUUGUGCCAUUUCAUUUUGUUACUACUUUAAAAUAAUGUAUAUUUUGAAUGCUGUUGUGUUAAAUUGUGUAGUAGGCUGCCUAAGUAGGGUGCAUUCUCAGGCAGUGACAUAAAGUCUGUCUCCUUAGCACGGAAGUCAGCAAAAAGGACUUCAAAAGGUUCUCAGAGAAUCUCACAAUUCCCAUAAUUCUGUUCAGCGGACAUGGACGAUGCUGAAGGUUUGAGAAACACGGUGGAGAAAAAAACAAAAACGUCACUUUGAUGAAAGUAAGUAAUUUUUUUAACUGACUAUCAUAAUAAUAUCGUAACUCAUGGUAAAAGCUGAGCACUUAUCAUGAUGCGGUAAUUUUAAUAUCGGCACACGCCUCCCUGAUAUACAGGACAGGACCUUUGGUACACUUUUUACAAAAUUGAACAAGGUAUAUAAAAUAAAAAAAAUUUAAAAAACAUACAUAUGCAAAAUAGUAGUUAAGACAGAGCUAUUACACAUGAUAAGUGAUAAUAAUAAACCAUAGUAGAUUAUUUGCUUUAGAUUCACGCUUAUUACCUGAGUAGAGUUAAGAGACAUACUGAUUUAGGACGCUGCAGCUUUAAGAGCAGGCUUUUCUUAACUGUGUUGUGUUUAGGGCACUUUAAUAAGUUUCCCUUAAAUUGUGUUUAACAUGUGUUUGAAUAGGACACACUCUACGCACACUUUGCUCUAUCUCUCGCACACACACACACACACACACACACACACACACUGUUGCUGCUUUUUUCAAUUCAAUUUAGCACCAGUUAGUCCCCGUACAUUUAGGCUGUGUCCCAAACGCUAGCGCUUGAUCCAAACAUUCAGUUCAUAUCACAGAUUUUGAAACCAGAAAGGAAAAAGCAUCAUAAAUUUUCACUGUUGCUAAUAGAUUGAUAGCUAAUGGGCCAAUUAGCAGUUAGCAUAUCAGCAUCAGCACAUUCACCUGACGGAAGAUACAGAUAUACUUAACACCUAUAAAAUCUCUAACCUAGCUUUUAAGUAACUGUACACUCUUUGAAACUCUAUAGAAAAGUAUUAAAUGUAAUGGUUUUCAGACUAGGAAGUCUAGGGACAGUAGAACAUGUACAUGGGCUGGACAAACCAGGCCAAAGAAUUAGGAAAACCGACACUCUGGUGGAGUAGACAAACGAGGAUGAUGAGAAAAUGAUCAAUCUAGGGGACUAGAACAACCAAGAAAUAAAAGCACAACAAGAUGAGAGAGGUGCCUUGCAUAAGUAUUCACCCAGUGACCUGGUAAAGAUGGGAUUAGCCAGAGAAGCAAAGCCAAGGAUAACACUCAACAUGAUGCUACCACCACCAUGCUUCACUGGAUGUUCUCCGGGUGAUGAGCAAUGUGGAUGACCAGAGAACUUUUACACGUUUGCUGAGUCCCCAACAUGCCCCCCCCACCCCCAGGAGCAUGUUUACUGCCAUUUAAACAUGUCCAUUUCUAGGCUUUAACACUGCAAAAGUUCAAGGGGGGUGUAUACUUAUGCAAACCACAGUAUUAGUGAGACAAAGGGAAUUAAAGACUAUAUAUAAUAAAGUAUUUGUGCAAGAUGAUGUGUUUACAGUUGGUGUACGCAAGAGACGGCCAUAACACUAAGCUUUUGCUAUUGAAUCGUUAGUGAAUCGGCUAGAUACCGGUUAGCGUGUGAGAUUAGCGCUCUAUAUAAAUCAACACACUCAUGACUGAGGACAGAGACAUUAAACACUUGUGACCUCCAGCUGUACGUUCCACAUAGCUUCGAGCUUUAACGAUACACUUUAUUUCACACUCAUCUGAACGGUACGUUUGUAAACCAACGCUAAAGUGCAGUGCAUUAUGGGUAAUACACACAGUAUAUUAUAACACAGUGUGUUUACUCCAGUUUUUGGGACAGAGCAUUAAAAAGGUAAACAUUCUACAAAGAGUUCUAGAUCCGAGACAAAAUGGCUAACGAUAUAUUAAGCACACUAACUAGUGAUUAAUUCUAGCAUUUGGGACGGAGCUGUAGGAACUUUGGCUUUACUUGAACUUGAGUUUAUUUCUCAUGCUAAUGUACUGUAUAAACUAAGGCCUAGCACACCAGGAAUGUUACACACACACACACACACACACACACACACACACACACACACACACACACACACGUUGUUGCUAAUUUCACUGUGUUUUUGCCUCCAUAUUUAGCGAUUCACUGUUCACUCUGGAUAAACUAAUUAACACUUAUCUGUGCUUUUUAUGAUAAAAUAUUACACUUUCUUGUUCAUGCAUUUCUUUUGAGUCUUUAAUAUUUAAUACUGAUGUGUAUUAAUCGAUAUUAAUCAACACUUAUCAAUUAAAACUCUUUAAAUGUGGGUGCUAAAUUAGCACGUUUGACCAUUGUACAUACGAACUGUAUUCUGGUUUGCAAUAAUUGCUGAUUGUGUAUGUGUGCGUGUGUGCGUGUGUGUGUGCGUGUGUUUUCUUCGGUUAUCCAAGCUGACUUCGUCAAAUAAAAAUCCUAACACUCAUCUCAACAGAACUGAUUCAUUAAACUGAUUCACAAAGCUAUGAGUCAAUUUAAAGAAUAAAUGUUCAGAGAAUCAUAUUGAUGACUCAGAGAAUGGUUUAGUGAGUCACUUUCAGAAACAAAUCAGCCUUAUACAUAUCAUGUAAUUGAAUCAGUUGUCAUGAAAUGAACAUCAUUUUUUAACGAUGAUUCGUUAAACGGAUUCACUAAACUAAUUUUGAUUACUGAUUGUUUAAAUGAACGAGGAAUUAAGACAAAGAAUUAACUUAAAGAAUCACUUUAAUGAACCAGUUUAAUGAAUAAUUUAAAUUAUUUAUGCGCUUGAUUUUGUCGUGUAUGUUUAUAGUUUAUAAAAUGCCAUUUAGGCAGAACAGUAAGUUUGCAUUUUCUCCUGAUAAUUCCUAUCAUUUUUUAGCUUCUUUUUAAUUCAUGUAUAUCAUAGAUAUAAACUUAGAUUUACAGUAGUCAAGGUAUGUUGACAUGAGAUAAGAUUCCCAGAUCCUGUCUUUACAUUACAGUUGAACACUGUUUUUAUUCCCGCUUAAGGAAAAUUUGUGUAAAUAUUUCAGUUCAACUGUUUUGAUUUCUUUUCUAUAAUCUGUUUUUGUAGUCAUCUUGACUGUCCACUUCAUUACCAUGCUACUGCGCCAUAGUAACGGGAGCAUUACAAGGCGUGCGUGUGUGUGUGUUUACGCCUCACUGUAAUAAUCUUUUACACAUUGGCCUUUACUUUCGAAUAUUACCAAAACUUUUGAACAAUGUACAGAAUCUGUAUAUAAUAAUAAUAAUACUGAUAAUGAUAAUGAUGAUAAUAAUAAUGAUAAUUAAUACGAUGAUUCCUUCUUUGUUCUUUUGUAUGGGAAUAACGGCGUAAAUAUAGAUGAUGUAAUGAGGUUGAUGCAUCAGGAGGUAAAGUGCUUUACUCUGAUUGGUCGGAUCAAUAAAACUGGAACAAAGUGUGAAUAUUAAUACAUUAUUAAUAAAAACACUCAGUCUCAUCACUCUGUGGGAGUUUCUUUUGUGCCUUGUCUCUAUACAAAUGUAGACCACAAAACAAUGCUAAAAUACUACAUUACCUU
ensembl:lncRNA